GGGUUUUUGAUGGAGGGUUUGAUCCUGGCUCAGGACGAACGCUGGCGGCGUGCUUAACACAUGCAAGUCGAACGGUAAGGCUCCAGCUUGCUGGGGUACACGAGUGGCGAACGGGUGAGUAACACGUGGGUGACCUGCCCUGCACUUCGGGAUAAGCCUGGGAAACUGGGUCUAAUACCGGAUAGGACCGCACCGUGAGGGUGUGGUGGAAAGUUUUUUCGGUGUGGGAUGGGCCCGCGGCCUAUCAGCUUGUUGGUGGGGUAAUGGCCUACCAAGGCGGCGACGGGUAGCCGGCCUGAGAGGGUGGACGGCCACAUUGGGACUGAGACACGGCCCAGACUCCUACGGGAGGCAGCAGUGGGGAAUAUUGCACAAUGGGCGGAAGCCUGAUGCAGCGACGCCGCGUGGGGGAUGACGGCCUUCGGGUUGUAAACUCCUUUCACCAUCGACGAAGGGUUUCUGACGGUAGAUGGAGAAGAAGCACCGGCUAACUACGUGCCAGCAGCCGCGGUAAUACGUAGGGUGCGAGCGUUGUCCGGAAUUACUGGGCGUAAAGAGCUCGUAGGUGGUUUGUCGCGUCGUCUGUGAAAUUCCGGGGCUUAACUCCGGGCGUGCAGGCGAUACGGGCAUAACUUGAGUACUGUAGGGGAGACUGGAAUUCCUGGUGUAGCGGUGAAAUGCGCAGAUAUCAGGAGGAACACCGGUGGCGAAGGCGGGUCUCUGGGCAGUAACUGACGCUGAGGAGCGAAAGCAUGGGGAGCGAACAGGAUUAGAUACCCUGGUAGUCCAUGCCGUAAACGGUGGGCGCUAGGUGUGGGUUUCCUUCCACGGGAUCCGUGCCGUAGCUAACGCAUUAAGCGCCCCGCCUGGGGAGUACGGCCGCAAGGCUAAAACUCAAAGGAAUUGACGGGGGCCCGCACAAGCGGCGGAGCAUGUGGAUUAAUUCGAUGCAACGCGAAGAACCUUACCUGGGCUUGACAUAUACAGGAUCGCGCCAGAGAUGGUGUUUCCCUUGUGGCUUGUAUACAGGUGGUGCAUGGUUGUCGUCAGCUCGUGUCGUGAGAUGUUGGGUUAAGUCCCGCAACGAGCGCAACCCUUGUCUUAUGUUGCCAGCACGUUGUGGUGGGGACUCGUAAGAAACUGCCGGGGUUAACUCGGAGGAAGGUGGGGAUGACGUCAAAUCAUCAUGCCCCUUAUGUCCAGGGCUUCACACAUGCUACAAUGGUCGGUACAGUGGGUUGCCAGUCCGUGAGGGCGAGCUAAUCCCGCAAAGCCGGUCUCAGUUCGGAUCGGGGUCUGCAACUCGACCCCGUGAAGUCGGAGUCGCUAGUAAUCGCAGAUCAGCAACGCUGCGGUGAAUACGUUCCCGGGCCUUGUACACACCGCCCGUCACGUCAUGAAAGUCGGUAACACCCGAAGCCAGUGGCCUAACACAUUUUUGUGGGGGAGCUGUCGAAGGUGGGAUUGGCGAUUGGGACGAAGUCGUAACAAGGUAGCCGUACCGGAAGGUGCGGCUGGAUCACCUCCUUUCUAAGGAGA
rnacentral:rRNA from 3 species